UUGCACUCCUGCCCGUCGCCUGCAGAAUUUGCCUCAACAGAACGUAAGCCCAAGCAGGCCCGUACCGAGAACUCAAUAGACACAAGCAUGGGAGGAAUGAGGGACUCCGGAGGCAAACGUUGGUGGAGGCGCUUGGACGAGGCACUGCAGCCAGCAGCGAGCCAGGGAAGGCUCCGAGCAGAAGAGGGGCCUGAGGGAAGGCACACAGGGGCGCUCAGAGGGAGCCCAGAGUCAGACACAGGAAAAAACCAG
rnacentral:lncRNA from 10 species